AGCUGUAAUCAUUCCGAGCUGGUCACACGAUAGAUGGCAGCACAAGAGAGCUGCUUUGAAAUCUUACAUCAAGAGGGCUGGUACCCAUUGCAAUGAGGAGGAGGCAUAUCAAGAGGAGAUUAGAUGGAUAACAGACGUAGCAGCCACACAUGAUUAUCGACGCAGCUUGGUUUCUAAAAUAGUGAGGGAGUCUGAGUUUAGAACGCACACUAAUAUGACCAUGAAUGAUGAAAUUAAUAGCAGACUGAGCAUGGACCAGCCGGAGCAGAGCACGUCCUAUGCAGUAGUCCCGGAAACUAUAAGAGACUUCCCUGUAGUAAAAAACAUCCUGAGAAAGAAACAAACCAAAUGCACCUACAAGAGACCCCCCACCAUCUUUAAAUGUUACAGAAUGAAAAGGAUAGAAGAGGUGAAUGUCAAAAAA
rnacentral:lncRNA from 1 species